CGCUGUUUUUGUUGUUGUAUGGUAUUGUUGUUUUGCCUUCAUUUGUUUUGUCUGGUCCUUUGUAGUUUGAAUGUUGUCACAUGAUCCAAAUAGGACAAGCUCCAAGAUCACCACCCCAUUGGGAAGAAACUAAAUCACGACCCCCAAAUGGUAGUCUUCCCAUGCAGAUACAGGGAUGUCACACAGAUCCAAAUGGAAACAUCGAACACUGUAAAACCCACUGUGCAGACAGGACCAAUGGUGACAAUAUAAGACCAUGCCGAGCUUCAUGGACGGUUCAAACUCAUCCUGCCCAGGAACGGCUGGUAUGUUUUUAUGUCUGAGACAAAUGUUGUGCUCAGUGGAAAUCUGGAUAGGCUUAUUAUUCCUUAUAUUAGUUAACAAUUGGACAUAAUUGAUUAUUUACUCUUUGUUUAUUUAACCAAUCAACAUUCUCAUUAGCUUAUGCAAAUUUUGAAUAUAAAGAGGCCAGAAAUGGUGUUGAUUG